UUAUUUACAAGGAAGUGAUGAGUUCAGAAGAAAAGACUAAAAAUGGCGUAGUAAAAGGACAACCUUCUCCUUCAGGUACUCACUCUCAGUGAAUAACCAAUUAACCAGUACUUGGGUGCUUUCUUUGGUUCUAAGAAGGGGUUGCAAUCAAUAGCAUUGCUUACAGAGUAUAUGAGCAAAUAUUGCAGGACUGUUUCUCUAUGAUUUUAAUUUAAUUUCUUUUGAUAUUUGGUGUGAUAUUCAUUCUGGAUUAUAUUGAUUUUAAGAUAGUAAUGAAUCCUGAAGAAUUUUUGUUAACAUGGACUGGUUCAAGGGUAAAUGUUCCUAGGAAACAGAGCCAGAAAGCUCUUUUGAUAACCAAUUCAGUGCAGAGGUCAGGAAUCCCUCCAGUCAAGACCUCUUUCCUCAUUCAUUCUCAAUGUUUGGACUCUCCCCAAACUUGGUAAGACAAUAGUUGAAGCAUCUAACAAAAUGGGCUAUAAUUAAAGCCAGCUUGGAAAACCUUUAGUUUGCUAUCUAUAUAAUCAUAUAUAUAUAUAUAUAUAUAAUAUAUAUGUGUGUGUGUAUGUGUGUGUGUUUGUCUCCUAAUGUAUGUUUUAUAUAUAAAUAUAUAUCAAUAUAACAUAUCUAUCUAUAGCUAGAUAUAACAUAUAUACAUAUUUAUGUAUGUAUAUAUAUAACUGGUCCUUGCAUUGUAUUUUAAAACUACUUGAAAUAAUUUACUUGCACCUAUUAAUAAGAAUCUACUUUCUCCCUAAGGCCUGUGUUCUGAAUAUAAAAGUUUUAGAAAAUGUGAUCGUUUGUUUUUAGCUUUAAACUACACUCAGCACAUUCCAGCAAGGAUGUAGGCUGCAAAUGACUAAUUCAGAGGAAAACUUAUUUGUUGUUCUAACUUUAAUAAACAGAUGUAAAAAGAUAUUAGAUGAAUUAAUAAAUUAUAUCAUAUGCCUUUUUAAAUAGCUAAUUUGCACCUAUUUCAUGGUGUUCUCAUCCAAAGCCUUGAGGCAAUAUCUAAUUCCAUCUCGUCUCUUUUCUUCAAGGAGGGCAAAGGGAGUCAUCAGAGUUGUCCCCCACCUUGCCCUACCUAAUCAUUCAUUCUAGCACCUGGAUUAAUAUAAAUCUGCAAAAACGAUUUCUAACUUUCCUGCAUGUUCUAUUUGCUUCUGAUUAAAGAACUCCAAGAUGCCUGAAGAUGCCACUUGCUAAGGCAAAAAAACUCUUCCUUAAGAAUUCCCGUAAUGACUAGAACAUAUUUCCCAAUAGUCAUCCCAUAACUACCUUGUCCCAGGUGACUUUACAUCUUCCCAAGGAAUAGGAUCUUUCCAUCCUGUGUUUCCUACUAGUCCUUGUCUUUUAAAUAUCAGACCUCUCAUCUUAUUACCCCAUAUUGAACAUACGUUUAUUGAGAGAAUUGAAUUCAUUCACCUUUGUGUACUGGAUAGUGUCUGAGUAUUGUGCCAUGAAAUAAUAGCAUCUCAAUAAAUAUUUAUUAAUUUGAAGUUGCCACUCUGUUCCUAAUAUGGUUUGGAUGUGAGGUGUCCCCCAAAAGCUCACGUGUGAGACAAUGCCAGAAGGCUCAGAGGAGAAAUGAUUGGGUUACAGGAGCCUUAACCCAAAUGAGUGAAUUAAUCCUAACAAGGAUUAAUUGAGUGGCAAUUGAAGUGGUAGGGUGUCCCUGGAGGAGGUGGGAAUUGGGGCAUGGCUUUGGGUAUAUAUUCGUAUCUGGAGAGUGGAGUUUUUCUUUCUGCUUCUUGAUCACCAUGAUGUGAGCUGCUUUCCUCUGCCACACUCUUCUGCCAUGUUUAGUCUCCUCUCCAGCCCUGAGAAAUGGAGCCAGUGUUUUAUGGAAUGACACCUUUUAAACCAUGAGCCCUCAAAUAAACUCUUCCUCCUCUAUAAUUGUGCUGGUUGGUCCCUUUGUUCACAGCAGUGAAAAAGCUGACUAAAACAGUUCCUCUCUUAGCAUGUUUCUUGAUGCUAUUCGAAAGACAGAAUUCAAGAUAGUAUCAUAGCUUUAAUACAGUAUGCAAGUCAGUAUAUUUUUAUAUUAUGAUUAUAAAUAUUAACUCACCCUGUUAGUCUCCAUGAAGAUAAAUUGGUCAACUAUCAAGUGCAUGAGUUACUGCUAUUGAUAUUUGUCCAUGCUUCAGAUAAAGGUUUGCUGCUUUGAGGUAGUCAUUUGAUUUAUUCAUUUUGGGAAAUAUAAAUUCACAAUUUUUUUGAAGUCCCACUUACUUUAGUCUGUUAAUGACUAAUUCUAAAAUAUUCCAUUUAACUUCCACCUAAGUGAGAAGACUAAGCUAUUUUUGUAACCAUUCCAACUACCUGUAACAAAGAUUAUCUACUUUACACAUAUACUCUUAAACUACAGUUGAUUGACUUAAUCAAUUUAUAGUUCAAAUGAGUGAAUCCACAAUCAUCUUUCAUUAAAUGACUUUACAGGGAAAAUAUUCAUGACAAUUUUGAUAAAUCAUAUGUUCACUGCACUGACAUAUUAAUGUAUGUUUGUAUAUGUUUGCAUCAUAUAGACAUUGCACAUUAGCUGUAUGCUAGAGCUAACUAUCAGCCCAUGAAAACCAAUUGUGUACAUCUUUUCCCAAAUGUGAGUUUAUUAACCUUAUGUUGGUAUUUGAAACCAGCCAGGAGAGAUUUUUACAACAUGGAUUUGCCUUACAAAUCAGGGCAUGUUUUUUUCUCCUGGAGAACCAAUUGUUAAAUGUUUAUUGACACACCAGUGUGUGUGAAUGUGGUAAACUAUUCUGGAAAGAAAAGGCAAUUACUAAAAGAAACUUUUGAAAAGUUACAUUUUUUUUUUGCAUUCUUUAUUAUAGACACCUUUCCUUAUUAACAUUUGCAUAGCAGAUUUAAUUUUGUAAAUAGCUAGGAUAAAGUAAUCUUACAAUAUAAACUUUCUAAAUAUUCACUUAUGGUAAUACUGGGAAUACUGACACAAAAGAGUAAGUUAAUGCAGUUCCUCAGGGACAAAAUGAUUUUAAUACCCAAACCCAUGUUAUAGUGAUGCUUUAAAAAUGUAAAUAGGAAGUUCAAUGUGCAUUUGCAGAAGAAUUUAUAGGUUUAAAAUUUAUUGAUGGAAUUGCUGUAUAUCAAUAUAUCUAAACUUCAGAUGCAUUCCCAUAUAAAUAAUUAUACUCGUUUUUCUGCUAUCUGAUUUCACUUGCAGAGUGAUUUAUUUUCAAGACUAGCAUAGCUACAUGCUUCCUGAAUUGAUUUGUAAAGACUGCUGAGGGAAUAGUAAUCUAUGAAUAGAAAUUAAUUUUCCUCUAAAAGCGGUUGUCAUAGAAUGUUAGAGCUAGAGCAAAUAUAGGAGGCCAACUUAUUCUACAAUGUGAUUUGUUCCCUCCCUCUAUUCUUCCAGGGAAGGAAAGUUCUUCAAGUUAUAAUGACUCACUAAGAUAAGAAUGCAUAGCAUUAGGUGGGCAGAAAUUUUUCAAACUCUCCAAAUCAAAGAUAAAGUUUCCCAGGUAUUUUUAAUAUACAUCCCUCCUCCCUGGGAUGGGGGGGGCAGUAAUCUCUGCCACUGAGUUCAUCUCUACCAGCUUGAGUCACCAGUCCAAUAUAUUUUAUCUAUCUAACUAUUUAUUUAUUUAUUUAUUUAUUUAUUUAUGAGCUUUAAGCUCAAACAAGUUGAGAGGCUGAAGAUUAUGCAAAUAGAGAAUUCCUCUUUGUGAUUUUUGCCUUCUAAUUUUUCUUCUAAUUCUCUGUAUCUACAUUGUGUGUGUGUGUGUGUGUGUGUGUGUGUGUGAGAGAGAGAGAGAGAGAGAGAGAGAGAGAGAGAGAGAUUGGGUGUGAGGUGUUGUCAGCAAAAUAAUUCCCUUAAAAAACAAAACAACAUUGUCCCCUGAAAUAAGGAAUGCUUAAGGUUAGAUAACAUCCACCUAAGAAAUUUUUCAUUGGUGUUACUUCAUUCCAUAAAACUUAAUUUUUUAAAGUUGAAUGUAGCUAAUAUUCCUCAUUUGCAAACCAAUUAGUAGUUUUUAGUUCCUUUUGAUACCAUUUUAUCAAUGAAAAUGUAUAAUGACUUAUUUAUGGCAAAACAUCUUUUAAAAUGUGUCUCUGUACUGGCUCCUCCUGAGUAGCACUGAGAGAAAGGAUAUUUAUCCAUUGCUGGGAUGUCCGAGGCAAAUAUGUAUUAUAAUCAAAUUCAAUUCAGUUCAAUUCUGUUUAAGAGAUUUUUACAAACUGACCGACAGUAAAUUAACCUGAAGCCAAGUUCCACAUUGCAUCCUAUUUGUUUGUGUAUGGUUUUAUGAUUUACGAAGCUUGUUUAUUACCUACAUAAAAAUAAAUUUGAAUGGGUCAUCUCAAAGCCAGGAGAGGCUGCCCUCAAAUAGGCAUAUAUUAUAAUGCGAUACAAGAAGUCAUGCCAAAGCAAACAUUUUUCAUCUGACAGUGUGGACUGGUUAAUAUUUAACAACCAUCUCUUUAAAAAACAAUCAAACACACAAAAACCUAUGAAAGAACUGAUUAGAAACAUUUACCAACUUCUGUGGUAUUAAUAUACUCUGUGAACAAUUUCAGGCUCCCAAUGUGACAUCAGUGAAUGGAGAGUUGGAAAGAGAUGCUAAUGAUUGGUUCUAGAAUGAUACUAAAAGCUAGCUCUAGCACACAACACAUAGUGUACCAAAAGGGUACCAUGACACUAUACAGAGAGGAACUCUUUCCUGCAUAGAACCUACUGAGUUGGCACAUACAAAACAUUCAAGAAUAUUUUAUAUUGAGUUUAAGAAAAUACUAUCGAAUGUUUUCUGUGUUAUGACAUAAUGUUAACUCAGAGCAUUCCAAAAGUGUGCUGAAAACAUGCUGAUUAUUAAAAUAAUUACAGUAAGAUUGUGUGUUUUAUAAGUACAACCUACAGCAUGGUCUCCUUUUUAUGAAGAGUUUCCUGAAAAGUACUUUGACUUUGUUCUGUAUUAUUAACAGAUGUAAAUUUGUGUUUUGCUAAGGAAAUUUCCUCAGUCUUAUUUGUGUGAUUUAUUUAGCUGUCCUUGAUAUGGACUCCUGUUUACUUGUAAAGAUUAAAUUGUGUUCUUAUAAAUGAGACUUAGCUAAGCCUUAUCUCACCCUUGUUUGAGUAAUUUCAUAGCUUUAACUUGUGACAAUAACAUGUCUACAAAUCAACCCCAGCUAGGAAAAAAUAAAAAAGCCUAAUAUCUUAAGAGAAAGCAUUCAAAGUGGUUAUUUCAUUAUAAUUCAAAUAGAGUAUGGUAACAAAAAAUCUCCCUGAUUGACAUUUUGAUCAACUAUAAUAUUCAUUAUAUAUAUGUAUACAUAUAUCAUGAAAUCUAUUUAUAUAUACUUAUUUGAUAUGUUUAAUUUUCAGUCCAUUGAUAUUGAAACUUUUUAUUAAAAUAAAUCAGUUGUAUUUCUACAUACUAGCAAUGAACAGUAAACUACUCCAUUUAUUAUUCUACUAAAAAGAAAUAAAAACCUUAGAAAUAAGUUUAAGAAGUGCAAACUUUGUACUCUGAAUAUUAUAAAACACUGUUGAAAUAAAAUUAAUUAAAGAAGACCUAAAUAAAUGGUAAGAUAUACCAUUGUUUAUGAAUUUAAAUACUUAAUAUUUUUAAGGUGACUAUUUCCUACAUUGAUUUAGAGAUUGAUUAAACACAGUUUAAAAAACCCACAGCUGUCCUUUUUUUUUUUUUUAAGAAAUUUGAUCUUAAAACUCAAAUGGAAAUGAUGCAAAGGACACAGAAUAACCAACAGAAUCCUGAAAGAGAGUACAUUUGGAAGAUUCAGGUUUCACAUUUCCUGACUUUAAAACUUACAAUAAAAUCACAAUAUUCUAGACAGUAUGCUACUUGCAUGAAGAUACCCUUAAAAGGUCAAUGGAAUAGAAUUGGAUCAGAAAUCCCACAUUUAUGAUCAGUUGAUUUUGACAAGGAUGUCAAGACAAUUUUAUGAGCCAAAAAUAGUCUUUUCAAUAAAUGGUGCUAGGACAGGUGAAUAUUUACCUACAAAAAGAAUUAAAAUGGACCCUUACCUCAUAGCAUAUACAAGAAUAAACUCAAAAUGAACCAUAAAACUAAAAUUAUAAUUAUCAUUAAGAAUAAGAACUAAAAUUAUAAAGGUCUGAGAUGAAAACAGGAAUGAAUUUUCAUGAUCUUAGAUUAGUAAAAGAUAGAUAUAAAACUGAAAGUACGCCUGUAAUCUCAGAAGAUCAGGAGACUGCAGAAGGAGCAUUCUGAGUUCAAAGCCAGCCUCAGCCACAACGAGGUACUAAGCAACUCCAAUGAGACCCUGUCUCUAAGUAAAAUACAAAAUAGGGCAAGAAUGUGGCUCAGUGGUCAAGUGUCCCUGAGUUCAAUCCUUGGUACCCACUCCCACUCCUCCCCUGCAAAAUAAAUAAAUAAAUAAAGCACAAGUGACAAAAAAUAUAGAUAAAUCUGACUUCAUCAAAAUUAAAAAAAAAUGUUCAUUGUUCAAAUACACUUUCAAGAAAAUAAAAAGACAAAAAAGUUGCAAAUCACAUCUGACAGGGAACUUUUAACCAGAUUAUAUAAAGAACUUUUACACUUUUACAACUCAAAAGAAAGUGACGUAAUUAAACAAUGGGCAAAUGAUCUGAACAAACUAUCCAAAGCAGAUAUCAAGUGACCAACAAGGACAUGAAAGAUACUCAUCACUAUUAUAAAACAAAAACCACAGUGAGACCUAUUUUUAUACAUACUCUGAAAUGAAUAUAAUCAAAAAGGUAGGCAGAAAGAAGUAACAGUAAGGUUGUAGAGAAAAUGGAAUCUCUAAAACUGCUGAUGGGAAUGUAAACUGGUGCACCCACUUUAGAAAGCAGUUUGGCCAUUCCCCAUAAAGGAUAAACUCAAAUAGAAUUAAACAUAGAAUUACGUUAUGAUGUAACAGUUUUACCCCUUGGUAUAUACCUAAGAGAAAUAAAAACAUUCAUACAAAAUUGGACACAAAUAUUUAUAACAGCAUUAUCCAUAAUAGUCAAAAUUAAUACAACUUAAAUGUUCAUCAAAUGUCCAUCAACUAUAAAUAGAUAAGCAAAAUGUAAUAUGUCCAUACAAUGGACUAUUAUUCAGAUAUAGAAAGUAAUGAAAUAGUGACACAUGCCACAGCAAGUAUGAAACUUAAAGACACUGUGCUUUGUGGAAAAAAAAAAAAACAGUCACUACUGGUCUCAUAUCGUAUCCUUCUGUUUAUGUGAAAUAUACAGAAUAAGCAAUGUAUAAAGGCAAAAAGUUGAUUAGUUAUUGCCUUGGGUUGGAGGGUGGGUGAGAAAUGGGGUUCAGAGUUUUCUGUUGGGAUGAUAAAAGUGCUACAAAAUAGAUUGUGAUUAUAUCUGUGUAUCUCUGUACCAAAAACAUUGAAUUGGGCAAAUUACAUUUAUAAUUAAUACAAUAUUUGACUUAUAUUUUAAUAAAAUGGCUACAUAAGGAUAUUUAGGUAUCAUUUCACAUUUCAAAUCCAAACUAAAUCUAAACUGCAGUAACAUGAUUUGAAAACCAUCUAUAACGUAAGGAUAUAUCAUUAAGGAGUCAAAUGGAUGUAAGAAAAAAGAAAUCUCACUCUGUCAGGUCCACAAUUGAUCAGGCAUUUAUUAGAGUCUUGUGUUUAAUAAGGACAUGAGAAAAUUGAAUGGGAUUCUGUGAAGUCCUUCAAAGUGAUAUUAAAUUAUUAGAGACUUGACCAUAUGAAAACCCACAAGAAAUGAUGGUCUAAUUUAAUCCAGAAUAGGGGGAGAAGCAUAGUUAGUUGUUUGAGCUAUGUAAGGGCUAAGUAGUAUAUAAAAUCUUAUUAUAAGAGGAAAUGAACUAGCUCUACACCAUUCAUAAAAGGGAUUUGAUUAAGUAAAUUUGGAAUAAAUUGAGACCAGAUAAGUUUACAUUACACAUUAAUUUGAUGAGGGUGCUUAUUUAUGGAAAGAUGAUAACAAGACGUUAAAAAUCUCUUCUAGAAACAUUUAAGAUUAGGCGAUAUUGAUGAUUCUAGGAGUUUAAAGAUCAUGAAAAACAUCUAAUUUUUUUUCUGUGUAUGUAAAUAUUAGGAUUCAAAGAAAUACCUAUAAAAUAAUUACAACUAGGGGAACUUCCUAGCAAAAGGACUAGAAGGAAAUAAACCAACAGAUUUGAAUAGUUCUUACCCUCAGUUUGAGAGUUACUGCAUAUUGACCUUUUUCCCUGUUAAUUUUUAUAUUUCCCAUAUUUACAUAAAUAUUCAUAAUUAACAAGUAAAGCUUUGAAAUACAUGUAGGAUAUGUGCAAUGUGCCUUAGAGUAUGCAUCCGGGUCCUUCCUAGAUACUGUAACAUUUGAGCACAUUUUUUUCCCAUAGGCAAAAAUGUUUACUUCAGGAGAAAAGAUUCUGUGUAUGUUCCACUUCCUUAGUUUUUUUCUGAUUUGUUCAGUCAACAUGAUAAUGCUAUUGUUAACUUAUUUUGAACUUAUUAUUUUUCACCAAAAAGAUCUUGCAUAUUAUGUAUCCUCAAAUACAAUUUUAGUGAGAAUUCCUUGCCCCUUGUUUUAUUAGGUGAUUAUGUGGGAGAUAUUUUUAAUAGGAAACUAUUUCACAAAGCAUGCAUUUUACCACUCAUAUUGCUUAGAUAAAAAGAAUCUAGAAAAAGAAAAGGUUAGUUGACUGCUUCUAGUGUGCUAUGAUUUAAUUUAAUUUUAUAGUGCCUUUGGCUUAUUUUCCUUUGUUGUUCUCAAUGCUGUUGCAACUCAGCAAGUUUUGACUGAACACUUUUUUCCCCUCAGAAUUUAGAAAUCUUUAUAUUACUAUGUGUCAGACAAAUUUAUAAAAGAAUUUUCCAAAUUAAUCUAAGUCCAUAAUUCAGCAUUAUUUGCAGAAUCUCUAUUUGCAGACCUUAGGUAAGCAAGCCUGUUGCAGAGUAUACACAUAAUCAAAAUGUGUGCUCUCUAUAUCUAGCUUCUUUCUUUCUUUUUUUGGGGGGGUACCUUUCAUCAAAAGUUUUAUUUCAUUUUUCUACAUGGGUUUUAAGUUUGGUUUGGGGUUAGUCAGCUUUUGUUUCUGUGACCCAAUUACCUGACACAAACAACUUAAAGGAGGAAAGGUUUAUUUUAUUUCAUGGCUUCAUUGUUUUCACUCUGUGGUCAGCAUGGACCUGAGGUGAGGCAGAACACCAGAGUGGAAGGGCUCAGUGGCAUAGAGCAGUUCACCUCAAGGCAGCACAAAGCAGUGCAAGAAAAAGAGUAGGAAGGCAGCUAUGCUCACCACUAUACCACCAUAACCCAAUUGAGUCAAAUGUAUGAAAGAUGAUAUAUCAUGAGCUUUGUAAUGUUUUGAACAACAAAUAAAAAAAAGAACAAAGAAAAAGAGUAGGGGUGUGGGAGAAGGGCCAGGUACAGAUAAAGUCCUCAAGGGCAUGCCCCAAAGACCCAUUCCUUACAAUGAGGCCCACCCCCUACAGUUUCUACUGUAGAUUAUUAAUUUGCUGAUGAGGUCAGAGCCCUCAUGGUCUGAUCACUUUUUUUCCGGAAUCCUCACCUCUAAAUAUUGCUGUAUUAGGAAUUAAGUCUUUAACACAUGGAAUUUUAGGGGCCAUCUCAGAUCUAAAUCUAAUAGAUGUCAUAUUACUGACUAUGUAGUAAAAUUUACUCUAUAUACAUUCUUUUUGCUAGAGUUGUAAUCUUCAACCAAUUCAGAUUUCUAAACUUCACCUCUGUCUAUAUUUAUGGGACAGGACCCUUGCAUAUAUUUGUUUUAAAAAGUUUCCUGCAUUAAAAGCAAUCAGGCCUGGUAUGGUGGCACAUGCCUAUAUUCCCCAUGGCUUGGGAGGCUGACGCAGGAGAUUGCAAGUUCAAGGCCGGUCUAAGCAAAUUAGCAAGACUCUAAGGACUUUAACAAGACCCUGUCUCAAAAUUAAUAAAAAUCGAAAGGGCUGGGAAUGUGGCUCACUGGUUCAGUGCCCCUGAACUUAAUCCAAAAAACAAACAAACAUAAAACCCAACAAUUGAGAUAAUUUGUCUACUCUGUAAACUAGUGUUUUUUUUUUUUUUAAACCCUAACAUCUGUCUUCUUUAUAAACCAAUGUCUUUUAAUCCCUGAUGAGAUUCAAUCCCAGGUUUGUUUAUCUGUUAUGUUUAUACACCAGUGUUUUAAAAUCCCUGACAGGCUUUCCUAUCUUUAGGGAGCUAUUUAAAAAUGCAAAACCUUGGCCUCACCUAACGUCAAUUCAUUGCAAUAUUAGAGGUACUGGGGCUACAGGGUAUUGGAGGGCAGUGUGAGUGGAUGUUAGUGUGUAGGUCUUUUUUUUUUUUGAAAAGCAUUACAGGUGAUUUCUAAUAUAGAAUGCGAUGUAAUAACCACUGCACUAGCCUGUGAAUAACUGGUACCUAGGGACUGUGUAUUGUUUUAUCAUGAUUUUCCCUGCAUCCGUUUUUCUAUGAAGGUUCAUGGAAUGAAUGAUGGACUAGACAUCUGUCUUGCAUUUGGCCAACCAAGCAUUGUGAAUGAAAUUCAGAUGGGUUUGGUUCCAGAUUUAGUCAUGUUGGUCUUCAUUUUCUUAGCACAGGUGCAGCAGUGAACAGCAGUGAGAGUCUCCCUCCAUCCUCGUCUGUCAAUGACAUCUCCUCCAUGUCCACCGACCAGACCCUGGCAUCUGACACUGACAGCAGCCUGGAAGCCUCGGCAGGACCCCUGGGUUGUUGCAGGUGACUAGCCGCCUGCCUGCGAAACCCAGCGUUCUUCAGGAGAUGAUGUGAUGGAACACACACAUACACACACACAGACACUCAUGCACACACACAAAUGCAGACACAAAAUGUCAAGAAAUCAGAAAGGGAGAGAAUCCAAGCCUAAAAUUGAAACAAAUCUUUCAGCCUGCUUCUUCUCCAAAGUUCUGUAAUGCAGCUAAGCUCAAAUGUCUAUUUAACUUCUAGUUGCUCUUGCUUUGGUCUCCUUCCAAUGAUGCUUAUUACAGAAAGCAGAUCAAACACAAUUAGAGAAGCCUUUCACAUAAAGUGUAAUUUAAAUGGCUGCAAAACCAGCAACCCGUAACUGCCCUUUCAAAUGGCAUGACAAGGUGUGCAGUGGCCCCAUCCAGCAUGUGUGUGUCUCUAUCUUGCAUCUACCUGCUCCUUUUGGCCUAGUCAGAUGGAUGUAGAUACAGAUCCGCAUGUGUCUGUACUCAUACAGCACUACGUAGAGAUGCUACUGUCAGUGUCCUCAGGGCUGUCCCAAGACAUCACGCACUGGGGUACCACAUGGUCCAUUUCAUGUGAUCUAUUACUCUGACAUAAACCCAUCUGUAAUAUAUUGCCAGUAUAUAAGCUGUUUAGUUUGUUAAUUGAUUAAGCUGUAUGUCUUAUAAGAAACCAUGUAAAGGGGGAUACAUGAG
rnacentral:lncRNA from 1 species